UUAGGCCUACCGGUAAAACCAAAGAUGGUGCAAGGAAAGUGAAUUUCCUUUCAAAAAAUAAAGCAAGAGAAAAGAAAAGAAAAAAAUGUUAAAGCAUCACUGGACAUUAUUUUAGACGAAUAUAUACUACACUAACCCAGUUCCUAGACCAUAUAUUCUUUCAGGUGGAAUUGUCACCCCAGCAAGCUCUCGGAGUAAAGCAUCGGCAAAACGGCUCUAAAAUUACAAAAGAAAUGAUAAAGAUACAAUAUUUUUACCAUUUUGCAUAACUUUGACGGAGACCAAAACUGCCUUCUAAGAGGAAGAUGUGUAGUAAAUCCUCGAAAUAUUUCGGUACCUUUUUUCAGCGUAGUAUUACCACAAAUAAUAUUUGCUUUCGAAAUAGUCAUUCACAUAUGACUAUGAGUGGCGUCGUAUUUUUUGGAAUCUUCCACAUUGAUCUUGCAGCUUCAUUUGAGGCACAUAUUUCCUCUAUUUAUUUCCACAUUGUGAUAACUUAAUAUAUUUAGCCACCCAAAUAAAAACAAACUCAGUUAUAUAUGUGUAAAUUCAACACAUUGCCUUCAUCCAAGAGUGUAGAUCUAUCUAUUAUCUAUCUUUUCUUAUUGAACAUAACACUUACAUAAUGAAAACCAGUUUUGAGUUUCAAUAAUCAACUGUCAAUUUAUUGUGUGUGUAUAUAUACUAUAUUACUAUGUACUGAAAAAACAUUUCUCUAUAUAACAUUAGAGGAUACAGUUACAGCAGCCAUUUUAAAUAGAAAGAUUGUGGUCACAACAAACUGACUUUCUUUAUAAAUGAGAUGGUAACAAAAUGUUCAGUUCAAUGCUGACGCCUGAAAAAGUGAAAAUUCAAUGAAGGCAACAAACAAUCAUUUCAACUUCUUACUGAAGUCCGACAGCUCAAGAACUUGAAUUCUGGGGAUAGCUGCAGCUUCUUCUCUCUCUUUCUGAGUGUUGUAACCCCAGUUUCCUGAUCCCAAAAACAAUUACACUUAUCAGGCACGCUCGACCAUACGUAUCACGAUGUCAUGUAAUAUUUUCCCAUGAGAGAAUCCAUUCCAAUUAUAAACUGGUUAAGAAAUACAAAAGGAAGCUACCUAAAUACAGAUUCCAUUGAUCUAACUCAGGUUCUUUGAUGACAUUUUUUAAGGUAGCAAGCCGAUCCUCAACAAAGCUGGUUAAAAGAGUUAAUUUCAUGUAAGCAAUAAUAGAAUUCCAGUAGAAAUAACAAUAACCAGAAUGAUGUAUAAUUAGUUCUAGUAGCACAAUAUCUUACUGAAGUGUGAGUCCUUGGUGCUCUGAUCUCUUUUGAAGCUGCUUCAGCACUUCCACCUUAGGCCUACCGGUAAAACCAAAGAUGGUGCAAGGAAAGUGAAUUUCCUUUCAAAAAAUAAAGCAAGAGAAAAGAAAAGAAAAACAAUAAAAAGAAAAAAAUGUUAAAAGCAUCACUGGACAUUAUUUUAGUCGAAUAUAUACUACACUAACCCAGUUCCUAGACCAUAUAUUCUUUCAGGUGGAAUUGUCACCCCAGCAAGCUCUCGGAGUAAAGCAUCGGCAAAACGGCUCUAAAAUUACAAAAGAAAUGAUAAAGAUACAAAAUGAACAGGGGACAUGAUGUAAAAUUGCAAAAGGUGCAUAAGUCGUAUUAGGACAACAUUAUCUUCCUUUCUCUCUUACUCUUUCAUUCCAA
rnacentral:lncRNA from 1 species